GUCGAGCGCUUCCCUUCGGGGAGGAGCGGCGGACGGGUUAGUAACGCGUGGGAACAUACCCUUUUCUACGGAAUAGCCUCGGGAAACUGAGAGUAAUACCGUAUACGCCCUUCGGGGGAAAGAUUUAUCGGUUAAGGAUUGGCCCGCGUUAGAUUAGAUAGUUGGUGGGGUAAUGGCCUACCAAGUCUACGAUCUAUAGCUGGUUUGAGAGGAUGAUCAGCAACACUGGGACUGAGACACGGCCCAGACUCCUACGGGAGGCAGCAGUGGGGAAUCUUAGACAAUGGGCGCAAGCCUGAUCUAGCGAUGCCGCGUGAGUGACGAAGGCCUUAGGGUCGUAAAGCUCUUUCACCAGGGAUGAUAAUGACAGUACCUGGAAAAGAAACCCCGGCUAACUCCGUGCCAGCAGCCGCGGUAAUACGGAGGGGGUUAGCGUUGUUCGGAAUUACUGGGCGUAAAGCGCACGUAGGCGGAUUAGUAAGUUAGAGGUGAAAUCCCAGGGCUCAACCCUGGAACUGCC
rnacentral:rRNA from 1 species